GGGGGACAACCCGCCGAAAGGCGGGCUAAACCCGCGUACAUGCCACCGGGGCAUCCCGGAGGCAGGAAAGGCUUCGGCCGGACAGGGAUGGGCAUGCGGCGCAUUAGGCAGUAGGCGGGGUAACGGCCCACCUAACCGACGAUGCGUAGGGGUUCUGAGAGGAAGGUCCCCCACACUGGUACUGAGACACGGACCAGACUCCUACGGGAGGCAGCAGUGAGGAAUAUUGGUCAAUGGUCGGGAGACUGAACCAGCCAAGCCGCGUGAGGGAUGAAGGUACAGAGUAUCGUAAACCUCUUUUGUCAGGGAACAAAGGCGGGGACGUGUCCCCGGAUGAGUGUACCUGAAGAAAAAGCAUCGGCUAACUCCGUGCCAGCAGCCGCGGUAAUACGGAGGAUGCGAGCGUUAUCCGGAUUUAUUGGGUUUAAAGGGUGCGCAGGCGGUCUGUUAAGUCAGCGGUCAAAGCCCGGGGCUCAACCCCGGCCCGCCGUUGAAACUGGCAGUCUCGAGUUGGAGAGAAGUAUGCGGAAUGCGCGGUGUAGCGGUGAAAUGCAUAGAUAUCGCGCAGAACUCCGAUUGCGAAGGCAGCAUGCCGGCUCCACACUGACGCUGAGGCACGAAAGCGUGGGUAUCGAACAGGAUUAGAUACCCUGGUAGUCCACGCAGUAAACGAU
rnacentral:rRNA from 1 species